CUACUUGCCGACCCUCCGGCCACAGGCAUGGGCAGCCCUUGCCCCAGAGCUGAGCAGGCAAAGCCGAGGAGGCCCCAGGCAUGGGGGCACUGCGGAGCCUGCGAGGGUAGGGCCAGCGAGGGCUUAGGAGUCAGGAAGGGACCGAGGGUGGGGCUGCGUCCCGGCUUUCAGGCCCUGGGGCGUCCACCAGCCUCUGCUCACUCUGAGGCUCCAGCCAGGGCACCAAGCCCCAGGACCGUGGGUGGGGCCCAAGGACACCCUGGACCCCCGUUCCAUUCAUGAGAGGCCUUCAGCAUGCCAUGUGUCUGCUGUGGCUGCCCGCAGGGAGGGUGGAGCCUUCUGUAAAUUGCACAUGUGGCCCCAGGGCAUGACAUCCAUGAUGAAGGCCGCACUGGACCUCACCUACCCCAUCACAUCCAUGUUCUCUGGAGCCGGCUUCAACAGCAGCAUCUGCAGCGUCUUCAAGGACCGGCAGAUCAAGGUGCACCCCCACCCUCAGGAGCCCAUACAGCCCCCAGCGCCUGUCCCCUCCUGGCCCCCCACCUCUUGGCCCUGGGUCAGCCUCCCCAGACACGGGACAGGAGCGUGAUGGGAGAGGGCCCGUCUGAGCCCCGUCUGCCCGCAGGACCUGUGGAUUCCUUAUUUCGCCAUCACCACCGACAUCACAGCCUCGGCCAUGCGGGUCCACACCGACGGCUCCCUGUGGCGGUACGUGCGUGCCAGCAUGUCCCUGUCCGGUUACAUGCCCCCUCUCUGUGACCCCAAGGACGGACACCUGCUGAUGGACGGGGG
rnacentral:sRNA from 1 species